CUCGCUCCAGAGCUGCAUGCCGCGUGUUUUAAACUGACUGACGAGUUGACUGCUUGAUGACGUGACUUCGAGAUUUCAAAUAAUAUGUUAGACUGCGACACCGAGGCAACUAUGUGAAAGCGCAAAAGCAUCGCCAGGAAGGCAGAGGACACGUCAAACCUGGUAUCGGAAGAUGAUGCUAUGUAGAAGCGAAAGAGACGUCUUCCCCAGAGAUUUAGCAAAUCUUCUAGUGAUUCCGGAAUUGACGCUGAUCUUGAAUCGGUUAGGACCCAAGAAAACAACAUGUACGCGGAGGAACGACUAAGGCUGUGGCA